rnacentral:lncRNA from 1 species
UUCCGGCAAGCAAAGGAGCAUAAAACCCUGGUACAAGAGGCCUGACACGGUUACCCGUGUCACCUGACACGGUCACCCGUGUCACCUGACACGGUCACCCGUGUCACCUGACACGGGCCGUGUCAGGAAAGGGAGGACAUGGUGAAGAAAACAGUAGCCUGACACGGCCACCCGUGUCAGCUGACACGAGUCAUGUCAAACAUCAUCCCCAACCGUGUCAAC